GGAAACUGCUGUCAAGCGUUAACGAAAAUGCUCAAGAUCACCGAAGAGCAAAUUCACUCUUCCAACCCAGGGCUGUGUGUCCUUUGCUCUCAGACGGGCCUUGAUUCACUUCUAGACCCAGCUGGUGAACUGGCGAACGUCCAAGGUCCCAGCGAACCCGCGGGGGGCUUCCAGAGGCAGAGCCCACCCAGCCUUGCGGAGAGGGCAUGCCCGGGACACCUGACCACCGCACAGCCUCCACCAGUCAGCGAUUUGGGAAACCUCAGCUUGAAUAAAAGGACUGUUGAUUCAAAGUGAGGAGGUUGGAUAUCAGGAGACUUCACCAACACACCUGUGAGAAGUCCGAGGGGCACCAAGGGCCCGUGCUGGUACUGAGCUGAGCUCCAGACAGCCCCCAGGCAUUGUCAGUCACCAGGUAUCGGCAGGAUUAAAACAUGUCCAGCUUUUCCUAACGAGAGCAAGGACACGCAGUAUUUCUUCCACUUUCUUCUCGACACCUUGCACCUACCCAGACGGAAGCAGACCUUCUGCAGCCUUGUCUGUGGCAGGGAAUGGAAUUCCAGUGACUCUGCACAGAGCAGUGAUCUUGGGGCUACUUGGACGGACUGUAUACCUCCUCACUGGCACUCGCGUUUCCAGAGAGCCCGUGCCGAUGGCCGCUGACAUGACAGCUACACCUGGUCACCGAGCACAGAGAUGCACCUCGUGCAGGAUCUUGCAGAACCUAAGAUAUUUCAUAGCAACACUAAUUCCAUCUGUUGUACGUGACAGGAAAUGGGUCAGUUCUACAGUGUUUCAGGAACACACCUGAUGAGCACAGUGAGAGCAACUCUGAGCGUCUGGGACUGUGGCCUCCGAUGCAAUCCCACAGGAAGUGUCGAAGCACCGGACGUGGAACAGAGCAGGACGGACGUGUGGUCCUCAAGGUUCUGACCGAAGUCCCAGCCGUUGCAGGUCCCCAACCUGAAGUGGGCCUGGAGGAAGCCAGGAUGCCGAUCUGAACUAACUGAAGCAUUUUCCCACGUCAGUUUCAAAUGCCCCAGCAUGGAGUGUGGUGCCGCGGUGCCCCCCAGGGAAGAGGCCACGCCGUGCCGACAAAGCACGAGUUACGACGGCUCCGCUCAGGCUCAGCGAAGCCAGCUACAGCCAGCCAGGUCGUCAGCGGGAAGGAGCCAAGCAUAAGUAUGAGUAGCGUCUUUAAAAAGAGGCACACAUCCAACAAGGUUUUACGGAGCCUACGAGGAUAGGUAUCGACCAGCUGAUGAAAAUGUGACCAGCCAGCCCUGAGCUUCCUCUGGGAGCAAUGGCUCGGUGUUCACGAAUUUGGGGUCUGUGGCUACUCUGUAGAAAAUGUAAUUACCAUGAAUAACAGGAAUUGGCUAUAUUAUUGUAACUGAGAAUUUAUUAUUGAUUUUCAUAUAAAGGAUUCUUUGCUAUGAUUGACAUGGAUAUACAAUCAUAGAAUUUUAAGUUUGGUUCUAGCUUUGCUACAAGUAAGAAGAUCAUUUAUUUGGAUAAUUUCUCAUCUGUAUAUUAGACUACAUGAACUUUAAAAUAUAUAUGCUUUUUAUUAACUGUUUUACAUUAAAGACUGAAUUAGGUUUAAACACGAGUGUCCAAGAAAAUAACAUGGGUCUGAAAUGCUUCAAUUUAACAUUAACAACCGCUUGCCCCUGUUAGGGACAAAUAUGGCUAGUUUCACGGGUCAGAACACUGCGAGGCCAGUGGGGACCAGGAGGGUCUCUGGGGGUCUGGUGGACCGGUAUCAUCCUACAGCUCCAGGGGCGGGAACACGGGAGGGUGCAGCAUCCAGGGCAGAGAAACACGAGCGUGUGCAUGUGUGCACACGCCCUAACCAGAGGCUGGUAACUGCUGUCACUGCCACAUGAGGGCAGGUAGGGGGGGGAACACAAGGGAGGGAAUUAAGUCUUAGCACCACUGCGGGUGGGGCUUAAAAACCAAAAACAAGAAACCAAACAGACUGUGGUGACGCUUGUUAGAGGGCCGAGCUCCUUUCUCCUGUUCCACCCAGACCAGUGGCCAGGUGAGAGCUAAGGAUGCAUGUGCAGGGGCCACGACGGGCUGGGAAGGCCCACACAGGGAAGACAACACCACUGCUCCUUACAGUAACAAAGGCUCCAAUCAAUUUUGGCCAUAUAGCUUUGUGGAGAAAUUGUUUGGAAUUUAUAUUCACUCUAUGUGUAGUAGGGUACGCUAAGAGAAAGCCUCUCCCCACUGCCCAGAAGGAAUCCACUCUCGGGGCUCCGAACGACGGGAGGUGGGCAGAGGGAGGCAGACACCCAUCCCUCCGAUGGAACCUGCCAUCAAACCCGGGCCAGGACCAUCAUGGACACCACUGCACGGGAGAAUCGCAUUUCUACUGGAAACAGCCAGUGUCCAAACAAAAUAUCGGCAAACAAAGCCGUGGUAGAGAGCUUAUUUUCCCCUAACAUUGCCCAAAUGACGGAAACCUUUCUCUGUC